GGGCCAUCUCGCCUGAGGAGGUUGCUAGAUCACCAAGCCUUCGGCAUGGGGGUCGGAAUGUCCACUUCAGCCAUCCUACCUUAAGAGGUUAGUAGGUUGCCAAGCCUUCAAUGUGGAGGCCAGAAUUUUCACUUUGGUUGUCCCGAUUUAAGAGGUUGGUAGGUCGCUAAGACUUCGAUAAGGGGCCAGCAUGUCAAGGCUGUUAGCUCAUUCAAUAAAUGUUGGUGUUAUCUUCUUAGGGCCAUUAGAUAGCUCACUUG
rnacentral:lncRNA from 1 species